GGGCCCGCGCUCCCCUCAGAGAGGCCGCCACCACAGCACCGCCCGCCGCGGCCUCCCCACGCAGGCCCCGCUCGGUGCCCAGCGCAGGCCCGGCAGCCCGGGUACGGCCCAGGGUGAAAGCCGGGAAGCGAAGCCGGGACUCACUCGGGCAGUUGAUGCUGCUGAAUAAUUCACCAGCAGCACUGGUACUUCUCUGUGGUGCCGUGCUCGGUUUGGAGAGGAGCUCCCAUCAGGAUCUCCAGACCUGCACCAGGUUGUUCUUCAGUGCUUUGGCCAGCUGCGUGCCAGGACGCUGGCUCAGAAACCCCAAACACCUACAAGACCAGCACGAAAGCGAGUGAGAAUGCGACAGCAAAAUCUGCCUGCGGAUGAAAAACUCGUUCAGCAGCCUUGAAGGCUGCACGUCAACCGGGUAUUUCGGAAGCGCGGAGAGGGGGGGAGGCAGCAAGCAUUUCAUCCCAAGAUGCCUUCCCAGGAGAGGGGUUCGCGGUGUUUUCGCUGGUGUCAAAGCCACGGCGCAACAAACCCCCUGCGUGAGGCACAAUCAACCCCACCUCCCCCUGCUAACCAAGCUUUUUGAAGUUCGUGGCCUUCCCGUGGCAUUUCAUACUUCACUUAUCCAAACUUAUCCAU